rnacentral:rRNA from 1 species
UACAGAGACCUCAAGCGUUAUCCGGAAUCAUUGGGCGUAAAGCGUACCGAUAGGUGGUUUAUUCAGUCUUGGGUAAAAGCCAGAAGCUCAACUUCUGCGUUUGCUUAAGAUACUAAUGAACUAGAGGGGCAAAGAGAGAGCUGGAACGAACGGUGUAGUAGUGAAAUGCGUUGAUAUCGUUCGGAACACCGAAAGCGAAGGCAGGCUCUUGGGUGCCACCUGACACUGCUAGGACGAAAGCGUGGGGAGCGAAUGGG